GACGUAGGGCGCGAGCGUUGUCCGGAUUUAUUGGGCGUAAAGAGCUCGUAGGCGGCUUGUCGCGUCGACUGUGAAAACCCGUGGCUCAACCAUGUGGUCUGCAGUCGAUACGGGCAGGCUAGAAUUCGGUAGGGGAGACUGGAAUUCCUGGUGUAGCGGUGAAAUUCGUAGAUAUUCGGAAGAACACCAGUGGCGAAGGCGACUUACUGGACACAUAUUGACGCUGAGGUGCGAAAGCGUGGGGAGCAAACAGG
rnacentral:rRNA from 1 species